CGUGGCCGGGGACGGAGUUGUGGUGGAGAUGAGUGUCGUGUGGGCCAGGCGGCAGCGCUCGCGGACUCGUCUCCAGGCUAUUCGAGGUGCAACACGGUCUGUGAGUUGAAGAUGAAUGAAGGUUGUCAUAAUGAAUGUUUUCCAAAAACUUAAUCGUAGAGGAUGACUAAACCCCUGGGAGUACCACUGCAUGUAACAAGCAUAUAGGUAGCAGCAAAUGAAUGAAUGAAUGUUCAAGUUUUUGGCUGUGGUAUACAAAAAUUCUUCAUUGCCUCAGGUGUGGCAUGUGACAUUUCGGAGGGAGAAACAGAAUUUGUCAAGAAGACAUGAAUUGAAGCAAGUCAUGAAAAUAAAUAUUUUAUUUAACACUGAUCACCUUACAAUAAAUUAUGUAGAAAAUACAUGUUUGAAUCCUUUUAAUUGCUGGGUAAUCUGUUUUCUUUUAAACAGCUCCAUUGUCACAAUCACUAGUCAGACUUGUUUUUAACUUUAGGGAUAGUAUGUUUCGGAUAGUUACUUUCCUUGAGGUGGUCAGC